rnacentral:rRNA from 1 species
AGCAGCCGCGGUAAUUCCAGCUCCAAUAGCGUAUAUUAAAGUUGCUGCAGUUAAAAACUCGUAGUUGAAUUUCGGGAUCAAUAUGUUGGUCGUGCCUCGGUACGUACUAGCAUAUUGGUUUCUCCUUUCUGAAGAACCAUGAUGUCAUUUAUUUGGUGUCGUGGGGAAUCAGGACUGUUACUUUGAAAAAUUAGAGUGUUUAAAGCAGGCUCACGCUUGAAUACAUUAGCAUGGAAUAAUGAAAUAGGACGUUUGAUUCUAUUUUGUUGGUUUCUAGGAUCGACGUAAUGAUUAAUAGGGAUAGUUGGGGGCAUUAGUAUUCAAUUGUCAGAGGUUGAAAUUCUUGGGAUUUUUAUUGAAGACUAACUACUGCGAAAAGCAUUUUGCCAAGGAUGUUCUCAUUAAUC